rnacentral:misc_RNA from 1 species
GAUGAAGAACGUAGCGAAAUGCGAUAAGUAAUGUGAAUUGCAGAAUUCAGUGAAUCAUCGAAUCUUUGAACGCACAUUGCGCCCCCUGGUAUUCCGGGGGGCAUGCCUGUCCGAGCGUCAUUACAACCCUCAAGCUCAGCUUGGUAUUGGGCCCCGCCGACCCGGCGGGCCCUAAAGUCAGUGGCGGUGCCGUCCGGCUCCGAGCGUAGUAAUUCUUCUCGCUCUGGAGGUCCGGUCGUGUGCUCGCCAGCAACCCCCAAUUUUUUUCAGGUUGACCUCAGAUCAGGUAGGGAUACCCGCUGAACUUAAGCAUAUCAAUAAGCGGAGGA